UAACUGCGAGUGAAGAGGGAAGAGCUCAUCAUUGGCAUCUGACAGCGUUACGCUGUCCGAGUUGUAGAUGAGGAGUAGUCCAUCUGGACUGCAUGGCGUCCAAGUACAAUAGGCCGUCAGUGGAGACAUCAUAGAGGGUGACAAUCCCGGCCUUGAUGCCAAUGUGCAAGUCCGUUACGAUGGCUAUCUCAGAGAGUCGAGCAGCUUGGUAUUUGCUGCCUUAACCCAUGGAAGGUGGAUUCCUUCUAACGCUUCAAUCCAGCGCAGCC
rnacentral:rRNA from 1 species